rnacentral:piRNA from 1 species
GAGAAGCAAGACAAAGUGACAGAUGU